rnacentral:rRNA from 1 species
GUAGUCCACGCCCUAAACGAUGUGUGCUCGCUAUCUGUACGUUUACGUAUGGGUGGCCAAGCUAACGCGAUAAGCACACCGCCUGGGGAAUACGAUCGCAAGAUUAAAACUCAAAGGAAUUGACGGGGACCCGCACAAGCGGUGGAGCAUGUUCUUUAAUUCGAUGAUACGCGAGAAACCUUACCAGCCCUUGACAUGUACAUUUUGAUUUCUGGAAACAGAUUUCUUCGGUUCGGCCGGGUGUACACAGGUGUUGCAUGGCCGUCGUCAGCUCGUGUCGUGAGAUGUUGGGUUAAGUCCCGCAACGAGCGCAACCCCUAUUGUUAGUUGCUACCAUUUAGUUGAGCACUCUAACGAGACUGCCGAUGAUAAAUCGGA